rnacentral:rRNA from 1 species
CGCGUAGGCGGUGAUCUUUGUCAGAGGUGAAAUCCCGAGGCUCAACUUCGGAAUUGCCUUUGAAACGGGAUCGCUUGAGUCCGAGAGAGGAUGGCGGAAUUCCUAGUGUAGAGGUGAAAUUCGUAGAUAUUAGGAAGAACACCGGUGGCGAAGGCGGCCAUCUGGCUCGGUACUGACGCUCAGGCGCGAAAGCGUGGGGAGCAAACAGGAUUAGAUACCCUGGUAGUCCACGCCGUAAACUAUGAAUGCUAGUUGUUGGGGGGUUUACCUCUCAGUGACGCAGCUAACGCGUUAAGCAUUCCGCCUGGGGAGUACGGUCGCAAGAUUAAA